CGGCGCCCGGGGGGAGGGGCGGGGGCGAGCGCAAGGGCGGGGGAGCGCUCGCACGCCCCGCCCCCGGGGGCGGUGCGCGCGCUCAUUGGCACUUGCGCCUCCCGCCGCCGCCGCUGGCACCGCCCCCCGGACUUGGGCCCGCCCCCUCUGGCCUCUGAUCCCCAGCGCAGGAGAGCGCGCCACAGGAUUCUGACGCCUCGUCGCGUCCUCGCUCCACGGGAUGGGCCGCCCGAACCGCAAACGUUGUGACCGCACCCCGGCUCCCGCUGCCUAGCGUUAGCAGUCAUGGGUGCGAGGAGUUGUGUAUGGGACACGGGGCAACUCGCUCCAGAGCCAACCAUGUGCUUCCCCGCGGCGCCGUGAGCUUCACGCCUUGGCCGGCGCCUGGUACACUUUCCCGCUCUUCCCGUCAGGAGGUGGUACUCUCAGGGUACCAGGCCGCCGGUCCCCGGCCAAUCGCAUCGCGCCUGGAGCCGAAUGGGGCGGGACCGAGGCAAGAAAGGGCGGUCCCAAUUGGAGCGUUCGAAAUGUCCUGGGCAGAGGCGGGGACGCAGUGGAUGGUGACCCCGCCUCCCUCGCGAUCACCAUAGUAACCGAGAGGGCGCUGCUCUGAGUUGGCGCCCGCGCUUGGACCUUGCUCUGUCCCUCAAGGGGUGACCAGGUAAGGUGUUCUCCGUGGACGCUACCCGCUAAUCUGUCUGGAAAUUCUUCGUUUUUAAGCUACGUGAAGGGUAGAGAUACCAUCAAGUCUUCUCAUCUGCUUCUCUGCCCUGUCUUCCCGCCUUUGCCCACACCAUCUCCUCCACCUGGAAUGCCAUCUCCAACAAUUCAUCCUCGCCACCAACUUCGAAAAUAGCAGUUCCCAAGACGACUUCUUUGUCUCCAGCCCCGUUAUGACAACACAUUUAGUGAAUGCUUGAGGGGAAGAAGCAGAUGCUGCCGAGCGAUCAUGCACCACGGGGAUCUUCACGUCAGUGCAAAAUGGUUGCGAUUUCCCCUCAUUUAUCGAGGACAGAUCUGCCGUGAUGUAGCAGACACCAGACUUGUCGCUUGAACUAUUUGGCUUAUUAAACAAAUCUUAUGUAUGACUUUGAUAAAAAAUAAAAUUGUAAUUACAUAAAAAGGAGA
rnacentral:lncRNA from 1 species